UCAACUAAAUAACCGUCCGAAUUUAAUAACAACUGCCUUCUAGUUAACUGAACAAUAAGAAAAUGAGCUGAUUCAAAAAUUGUUUUGAUUGUGUUCUUUUAAUUAAGUUGAGAUAAUCAUGACAGAUAUUUCUUUUUUGGCAAUAUAUCCAAUUUUAUAUGGAAAAUAACAAAUUGGUCCGUGAACGGAUCUGGUAAUUGGAUUUUCCGUUCUGAAACGGGUAUUGAAAAACAGAAAACGAGUGGUUAUUUGAUUUUCGUUUUAAAAUACAAAAAUUGAAAUUGAAAUACAAGGCGUUUUUCCUUUUCAUGAUCAAAAAGGGAUAUACGAUUUUUUUUAAAAUGCUUUGAUUUUCGUUUUAUAUUUAGAAUAACAAGAAAGUAAAAUCUGUAAGAGAGAAACGAAAAAAGGUCAGUUUUUUCAUUUUCUGAGACCGGAAGUGGUCAUCAGCAAGAGUGGAGCCAAACGACAACAAGAUUCUCAGAGGGCGGAGCCAGAGAGCAGCGAUUGGUCAGACCACAGAUAAUAUAGAAGACAGCGCGCUAGCGUAUCUAGUAUUCUAUGUAUCUAUGGUCGGCACGUCUGGUAGCGUCUCUGGCUGCUGUUGAUCUUGUUUUUGGAGUAAAACACGGUGGAAGCUGAAUUAGUGAGGAUGACUCCUGCUCCUGUCAUCUCUAAACUCCUCACACAUCUUUACCUGCACAUGAGGAAAAUCACUCCUGUAGAAUGCAGAUGUUCAGAGGGAGAUGAUGCCACAUCUGGUCCAGCUGAUGGAAGGUCUUGAAGUUCUCUGACUGGCCUCGACUGAAGAUGGUCGUCUCACUGGAUUUAAGGUUCAGAUGCUCAGUAACAAACUCCACCAAUGUGCCAACAGGGAAGCUUUAGGUUUAUUAAAUGUUGCUAUGAAGGUUUCGCUGUUUUUCUUUGUGAAUGCAAUGUGCUCCAACUGAAACUUGAAUUAGAACUUAGAAGUAAAUCCUUCCAUCUGAAAGGAUUUAGUUGCAUUAAUAACCUCAUAACAUUCUAAUUUUUAUUCCAGUCUUGGUUGAAAAUAGAAUCUCUAUUGAUUCAGGUAAAGACUGAACUUCACAGCAUGUUGAAGCAAAACAACCAGAUGAAAACUGUGAUGGUGUUGGAUUGUCAGACCGUAAUGUUGCAGCUCAAAGCAGCUUUUCUAUCUCAGUUCAUUCUAACAUUCAGCUAUGAAUCAACACAGCAGAUGGUGAUCCAUGCUGUGGAAGUCUCACAUCUCCUGAUUUAAUGGAGCUGCUUUGCACUUUUUACACUGUUUAUUCACCAACACUUUAUUUAAUAAAAGUCCCAUCUAGUUUUCAUGAGGAAUGUGAUGUUUUAAUUUCUCUGUGAAUAACUGCAGUCUAAUGUAACAGCUGGAGUUGUAACAUCUGUCCUGAUAUUGAUCAUGAAGUAUUGAUCAGAAUACUUAUGGUCAGCAGUCAUCCCUGAAGUUUUACAUUAAAAUCUUUACUUGUGUUGUGAAUUUUGGUAAGAAGCAGAAACGUUAGCGUUGCCAUGGAUACAUGAGUGUUAAAUUCUGUUCAUGUUUCCAUUUUGGGGAAAUGCAGUCCAGUUCCAGAAUGUGGAGGAAUUUAGUCUCACAAUCACAGACAAAUAUUAUCUGAAACUCAGGUUAUUGUUGUUUAUCAGCACAAUACAAAAAGAUUAAUGUUAGAAAUAUUCCAGUUAAGACUCUAGAAUAUCAUGAUUUAUGUAAAUUUACCUCAAUAAUAUUAAUGUCCAGGUUAAGAUUGUACAGUGAUAUUUAUUAUGUAAGUUUAGCUGAUUAAAGUUUAUGACUCUGCACUAAAAUAUUAUUUAAAUUGACAUCAUUAUUAUAAUAUUUAGGGUCAGACCCUACAGUAUUGAGAUUAAGAAAUCAAAUAUUCUAUAAAAUGUAAAUACACUGAACUCAUUUGGAUAUAUUUCAGUGAGACUCUACAAUAUUAUUUGACACAAAUCUAUCUAAAUCAAAAUUUUUAUAAUUUUCAAGCCAAACAUUUACUGGACUGAUUUAAAUAUUAAAAUCACUCCUUUCUAAUCCUCUGCUGUACGUUCAAACCUGAGGCCUUAAAUAGAAACACACAAGUAUCUGUUUGAAGGAACUUCUGCAGAGUCCUGGUUCCAAAACAUGAUGAUAGAAUUAUAGACAAACUUUAACAAAAGCUGCCUGAGAGUUUACAGGUUUUUAUGUUAGAUUUCUUCAGUAAUUUAAUGAGCAUUAUCAGCAAAAAUCAAGUGUUCAUUUGAUGAACUUCAUUUCCUAAAACAUCCAGAGUUGGAGCUCAUAUCUUUGGCAGCUGUAAAGUUUCUGCUUCUUCAAAGUUCACAACACAAUGAAUUAAUUCCUAAAACACUCUCAAUGCUGGAGAGCGUUUGAUGCUGAAGCAGUGAUCAGUUUUUCUGUUUCUUCUCUGGAGAUGCACAAUGAGGGACGUCUGCAGAGACUGAGAAAGAGUCUCACCACAUCCUGACAUGAGGAAAAAGACUUUAUUGAAGACUACAAUGAGAAAAACUAUCAGACAGCAGACGGCUGCAUUCAAGGUGAGCUCUGAACAUUUGAUCUGGAACAGGAAUUCAAUAACGGCAGCAUGAGCUUCAUUUCAGUCUGUAGCUGCUGAAUUCAUGGAUGAAUCAUCUGGCACUAGAGAAGAA